rnacentral:rRNA from 1 species
UAGGGAAUAUUGGUCAAUGGGUGAGAGCCUGAACCAGCCAUGCCGCGUGCAGGAAGACGGCCUUCUGGGUUGUAAACUGCUUUUAUCUGGGGAUAAAAAGCCCAUGCGUGGGACAUUGAAGGUACCAGAUGAAUAAGCACCGGCUAACUACGUGCCAGCAGCCGCGGUAAUACGUAGGGUGCAAGCGUUGUCCGGAUUUAUUGGGUUUAAAGGGUGCGUAGGCGGUCUAUUAAGUCAGUGGUGAAAUCCAACAGCUCAACUGUUGAUGUGCCAAUGAUACUGAUGGACUUGAGUACAGACGAGGUAGGCGGAAUUGACAGUGUAGCGGUGAAAUGCAUAGAUAUUGUCAAGAACACCGAUAGCAAGGCAGCUUGCUAGCCUGUAACUGACGCUGAGACGACG